GAUGAACGCUGGCGGCGUGCCUAAUACAUGCAAGUCGAGCGAACGGACGAGAAGCUUGCUUCUCUGAUGUUAGCGGCGGACGGGUGAGUAACACGUGGAUAACCUACCUAUAAGACUGGGAUAACUUCGGGAAACCGGAGCUAAUACCGGAUGAUAUUUUGAACCGCAUGGUUCAAAAGUGAAAGACGGUCUUGCUGUCACUUAUAGAUGGAUCCGCGCUGCAUUAGCUAGUUGGUAAGGUAACGGCUUACCAAGGCAACGAUCCAUAGCCGACCUGAGAGGGUGAUCGGCCACACUGGAACUGAGACACGGUCCAGACUCCUACGGGAGGCAGCAGUAGGGAAUCUUCCGCAAUGGGCGAAAGCCUGACGGAGCAACGCCGCGUGAGUGAUGAAGGUCUUCGGAUCGUAAAACUCUGUUAUUAGGGAAGAACAUAUGUGUAAGUAACUGUGCACAUCUUGACGGUACCUAAUCAGAAAGCCACGGCUAACUACGUG
rnacentral:rRNA from 1 species